rnacentral:miRNA from 10 species
UAGGAUGACCAACUGUCCUGGUUUGCCUCGGACUGAGGGGUGUCCUGGGAUGUGGGACUUUCAGUGCUAAAAUCAGGAAUGUC